AGCAGCCACUCAUUAAAAGAGUGCGUAAUAGCUCACUGGUCGAGUGACUCUGCGCGGAAAAUAUAACGGGGCUAAGUAUGCAACCGAAGCUUGGGAUUGUCUAAAGACAGUGGUAGGGGAGCGUCGUGUAUGGGGUGAAGUCGCAUCGGAAGGAGCGGUGGACUGUACACGAGUGAGAAUGCCGGAAUGAGUAGCGAGAAUUAUGUGGGAAUCAUAAUGGCCGAAAAUCUAAGGUUUCUUGGGGAAGGUUCGUCCGCCCAAGGUAAGCCGGGAGCUAAGGCGAGGCCGCAAGGCGUAGUCGAUGCACAUACGGUAGAAAUUCCGUAGCCACCGAACCUUAAACCGGAAGGACACUUUCAGAUAGCAGAACCCAGCCGUUGGUAGAGCUGGGCGAAAGGGACUGAAAUAUAGUAGGGAAGUCUGCGAUGCUGAGAGGCGAGAAAAGCUCCGGUGUAUGCUAAGGUGCCCGUACCGCAAACCGACACAGGUAGAUGAGGAGAGAAUCCUAAGGCCAACGGGAGAAGGGUUGUUAAGGAACUCGGCAAAAUUACCCCGUAACUUCGGGAUAAGGGGAGCUCCCUAAGGGGAGCCGCAGAGAAUAGGCCCAAGCGACUGUUUACCAAAAACACAGGUCUAUGCUAAAUCGAAAGAUGACGUAUAUGGGCUGACGCCUGCCCGGUGCCGGAAGGUUAAGAGGAGAUGUCAGCGCAAGCGAAGCAUUGAAUUGAAGCCCCGGUAAACGGCGGCCGUAACUAUAACGGUCCUAAGGUAGCGAAAUUCCUUGUCAGGUAAGUUCUGACCCGCACGAAUGGCGUAACGAUUUGGGCGCUGUCUCGGCGAGAGGCUCGGCGAAAUUGGAUUAUCCGUGAAGAUACGGAUUACGUGUACCAGGACAGAAAGACCCUAUUGAGCUUUACUGUAGCUUGAAAUUGAAUUCGGGUUCUCAUUGCGCAGUAUAGGUGGGAGACUAAGAAGCUUGAACUUUGGUUUAAGUGGAGUCAUCGUUGAGAUACCACUCUGUGAAAAUUUGGAUUCUAACCUUGAUCCCUCAAAGAACAGGGCAAGGGACAGUUUCUGGUAGGCAGUUUGACUGGGGCGGUCGCCUCCUAAAAAGUAACGGAGGCGUUCAAAGGUU
rnacentral:rRNA from 1 species